AUUCCAGCUCCAAUAGCGUAUAUUAAAGUUGUUGCAGUUAAAAAGCUCGUAGUUGGAUUUCUGACAGGGGGCCGAACACCACUGUAGUGAGUGUUUUGGUACCUGUCAUCCUUCUGUUAACCCUAGCGUCAUUCAUUUGUCGUUGGGCGGACCAGAUACUUUACCUUGAGAAAAUUAGAGUGUUUCAGGCAGGCCUAGCCGGAAUACAUUAGCAUGGAAUAAUGGAAUAGGACUAUAGUCUCGUCGUUGGUUACGUGGACUGCAGUAAUGAUUAAUAGGGAUAGUUGGGGGCGUUUAUAUUCCGUUGUCAGAGGUGAAAUUCUUGGAUUUACGGAAGAUAAACUACUGCGAAAGCAUUCGCCAAGGAUGUUUUCAUCA
rnacentral:rRNA from 1 species